rnacentral:tRNA from 1 species
AUUUCCUUAGUAUAAAUAGUACAUUUGCCUUCCAAGCAAAGAGUUUAAUUAACCUUAAAGAAAAUA